AUUUUCUUAAAAUUUGGACAAAGUAUUUACUUUGACCCUUUUACAAAAAUAUAAAAAUUUCAAAAAAUUUGAACCACCCGUUUUAUCAGAAAAAUUACACUGGUUAUAUAGCAGUUUGAUGAACACUUAUUUUGAUCAUUGAGAAGCUUGAUAUUCCCUUAACAACACAACGUAAUCAAAACGUUUAGCUGAUUUUACAGAGUUAUCUCCCUGUAGUGUAAGGUAC
rnacentral:lncRNA from 1 species